rnacentral:rRNA from 1 species
GCGUUAAUNGGAAUUACUGGGCGUAAAGCGUGCGUAGGUGGUUUAGUAAGUCAGAUGUGAAAGCCCUGGGCUUAACCUGGGAACUNCAUUUGAAACUGCUGAACUAGAGUGUGGUAGAGGGAAGUGGAAUUCCGGGUGUAGCGGUGAAAUGCGUAGAUAUCCGGAGGAACACCAGUGGCGAAGGCGACUUCCUGGACCAACACUGACGCUGAGGUACGAAAGCGUGGGUAGCAAACAGGAUUAGAUACCCUGGUAGUCCACGCCGUAAACGAUGUCAACUAGUUGUUGGGAGCAUCUUGGCUCUUAGUAACGUAGCUAACGCGAUAAGUUGACCGCCUGGGGAGUACGGCCGCAAGGUUAAAACUCAAAGGAAUUGACGGGGGCCCGCACAAGCGGUGGAGCAUGUGGUUUAAUUCGGUGCAACGCGAAGAACCUUACCCGGGCUAAAUCCACGAUGACCGGUCCCGAAACGGACCUUCCCUUCGGGGCAUCAUGGAAGGUGCUGCAUGGCCGUCGUCAGCUCGUGCCGUGAGGUGUUGCCUUAAGUGGCGCAACGAGCGCAACCCCUGUGGUUAGUUACCAGCACGUUAUGGUGGGGAUUCUAGCCAGACUGCCUACGCAAGUAGUGAGGAAGGUGGGGACGACGUCAAGUCAUCAUGGCCCUUAUGUCCGGGGCUGCACACGUGCUACAAUGGAUGGUACAGAGGGAAGCCACCACGCAAGUGGGCGCAGAUCUCGAAAGCCAUUCCCAGUUCGGAUUGGAGUCUGCAACUCGACUCCAUGAAGGUGGAAUCGCUAGUAAUCGCGUAUCAGCAACGACGCGGUGAAUACGUUCCCGGGCCUUGUACACACCGCCCGUCAAGCGAUGGAAGUCAGGAGUACCUGAUGUCGCCGUGCCAACCUUCGGGGGGCAGGUGCCUAGGGUAAGCUUGGUAACUGGCGCUAAGUCGUAACAAGGUAGCCGUACCGGAAGGUGCGGCUGGAUCACCUCCUU